ensembl:lincRNA 4933404K08Rik RIKEN cDNA 4933404K08 gene
GUAGCCAACUGCCACUCUGUAACUGCCACUCUGCAACGGCUUCCCACACACAAGGAUAGGCCAGACUGAGGAAGAAAGACAGAAACUGUGGGAAUGUUUCUGACUGCAGACAGACCUUGCUAGAAUAGCACGCUGGGGAUCUUCCACUAGAAGGUUGUGACUAACACUCCCUUCUUGGAAUGACCCAACAAAACAAGCUUUACAAGAUAGCCCCGACCAGCAAGGACGGCCCCAGAGGGUUGGAUCAAUCUUGCUUGUUGCAUUGAUCUCCAUCUCUGUUUCUGUGAGUGGGACAUCCUGGAAGUAAGGCUCUUCGGGUCUUGCAACACAAGGGAGGAGAGAAAGAGUUUGCCAGGCUUCUGAUGGAGAAAAGUUGACUAGCCACAAUGUACAGCUUUGGUAAGAUUCAUCCUCAGAGAUGCUGAACUAACCUGCUUAUGAAAGAACCUAGUGGGGAAACCCCCACUCAGCUCCUGAUUCGGCGUGCACCCAAGAAUCACGAAUAGAACAUCACACCUUGAUGUAACAACACGAGACCCCUGCUUCCAACUGCCUAAAACAGCUUGGGGACUGUCAUGGAUUCCAGGUCAUCUUGCCUUGUUCAACCUUUCAGAUGGAUCUAGUCAGACUUCAGUCAAGCUCUGAGCCUUCUAAGCAUACAGCAACUAGAUAAUAGAUGCUAAAGCUAGAUUUCUUAAAUCUAACCAAAUUUUCUAAUUUUCCUACCCCUCCUACCCUUUUAAAAAACAUUUUUUCAUUGCCCCUGUUCAGCAAGAAGAAGUUGUGGAGAGUCAUCAGCCCAAUUCCCUGGGUAUGGGAGUCUGGUAAUGGUUAUUUUACAAAUUAUAGAAAAGUUAUCAUUUCUAAGGGAUAAUUUGGGAAUGGUCAUAUGUGGAGAGCUCUUGGUGCUGCUUAUAGAAAUAUGUCAAGCACUUGUCACUGGGCUCAAAGAAGUAGGCUCAGAUAAGAAUAUUCACAUUUGGGCUAAUACAAAGCUCAAGGUAAACUUAGGAGAGGAAUGUGUGGCCUUCCUUUUAUCUUGGUCAUCCUGACAAGUCCCUAGACUCAGUGACCAGGGGGCUUAGUUUAUUGCCUUGUUUGAUCUCUUUGUUUAUUACUUUAUUUAAUUACUUUGUCUUUAAGAACCAAACCUAUUCUCUGCAAGGACCUAGAAUGGUAUAGAAGCUGACUGGGAAAUAAGCCUGCUUCAGCCUCAGCACUGGCUGUAGUCAUGUUAUAAUGUUGUCUAAUUUUCUUUCUUCUCAACCCUAACUAAGAUGAGGGUGGGGGGUCAUGAUAAUUUCUUGAUAGUACAGAGGAUAGCAGUCUCAUCAACCUUUCAUAUUAUAUAAUCAGGGGGUAGAGGAGAAGUCAGUAAAAAUUAUGUAAAAUUUUGUAUACAUGUUUUAAUAAAUUAUUAAGGCCUAUCUCUUC